rnacentral:rRNA from 1 species
AGAGUUUGAUCAUGGCUCAGAAUCAACGCUGGCGGCGCGCUUAACACAUGCAAGUCGCACGAGAAAGUGGAGCAAUCCAUGAGUACAGUGGCGUACGGGUGAGUAACACGUGGGUGAUCUACCUUCUGGUGGGGAAUAACCCUGGGAAACCGGGGCUAAUACCGCAUAACCUCGAGAGAGGAAAGCAGCAAUGCGCCGGAAGAGGAGCCCGCGGCCGAUUAGCUAGUUGGCAGGGUAAGAGCCUACCAAGGCAGAGAUCGGUAGCCGGCCUGAGAGGGCACACGGCCACACUGGCACUGAAACACGGGCCAGACUCCUACGGGAGGCAGCAGUGGGGAAUCUUGCACAAUGGGGGGAACCCUGAUGCAGCGACGCCGCGUGAGCGAUGAAGCCCUUCGGGGUGUAAAGCUCUUUCGGCAGGGAAGAUGAUGACGGUACCUGCAGAAGCAGCUGCGGCUAACUACGUGCCAGCAGCCGUGGUAAUACGUAGGCAGCGAGCGUUGUUCGGAGUUACUGGGCGUAAAGGGUGUGUAGGCGGUUCUUUAAGUUUGGUGUGAAAUCUCCCGGCUCAACCGGGAGGGUGCGCCGAAUACUGAGGGACUUGGAGUGCGGGAGAGGAAAGUGGAAUUCCUGGUGUAGCGGUGAAAUGCGUAGAUAUCAGGAGGAACACCGGUGGUGUAGACGGCUUUCUGGACCGUAACUGACGCUGAGACACGAAAGCGUGGGUAGCAAACAGGAUUAGAUACCCUAGUAGUCC